rnacentral:rRNA from 1 species
CUACGGGGCAGCAGUGAGGAAUAUUGCACAAUGGGGGGAACCCUGAUGCAGCAACGCCGCGUGGAGGAUGACGCAUUUCGGUGUGUAAACUCCUUUUAUAUGUCAAGAAAAUGACGGUAGCAUAUGAAUAAGCACCGGCUAACUCCGUGCCAGCAGCCGCGGUAAUACGGAGGGUGCAAGCGUUACUCGGAAUCACUGGGCGUAAAGGACGCGUAGGCGGGUUGGAAAGUCAGGUGUGAAAUCCUACAGCUUAACCGUAGAACUGCACUUGAAACUUCUAAUCUAGAGUAUGGGAGGGGGAGAUGGAAUUAGUGGUGUAGGGGUAAAAUCCAUAGAUAUCACUAGGAAUACCUAAAGCGAAGGCGAUCUCCUGGAACAUUACUGACGCUAAGGCGUGAAAGCGUGGGGAGCAAACAGGAUUAGAUACCCUCGUAGUC